UACGGGGGGGGCAAGCGUUGUUCGGAUUUACUGGGCGUAAAGGGCUCGUAGGCGGCCAACUAAGUCAGACGUGAAAUCCCUCGGCUUAACUGGGGAACUGCGUCUGAGACUGGCAAGCUUGAGUGCAGGAGAGGAACGCGGAAUUCCAGGUGUAGCGGUGAAAUGCGUAGAUAUCUGGAGGAACACCGGUGGCGAAGGCGGCAUCCUGGACCAACACUGACGCUGAGUGAGCGAAAGCCAGGGGAGCAAACGGG
rnacentral:rRNA from 1 species